AACGAACGCUGGCGGCAUGCCUAACACAUGCAAGUCGAACGAGACCUUCGGGUCUAGUGGCGCACGGGUGCGUAACGCGUGGGAACCUGCCCUUAGGUUCGGAAUAACUCCCCGAAAGGGGUGCUAAUACCGGAUAAUGUCUUCGGACCAAAGAUUUAUCGCCUUUGGAUGGGCCCGCGUUGGUUUAGCUUGUUGGGAGGGUAAAAGCCUACCAAGGCGACGAUCCAUAGCUGGUCUGAGAGGAUGAUCAGCCACUCUGGGACUGAGACACGGCCCAGACUCCUACGGGAGGCAGCAGUGGGUAAUAUUGGACUAUGGGCGAAAGCCUGAUCCAGCAAUGCCGCGUGAGUGAUGAAGUCCUUAGGGUUGUAAAGCUCUUUUACCCGGGAUGAUAAUGACAGUACCGGGAGAAUAAGCUCCGGCUAACUCCGUG
rnacentral:rRNA from 1 species